AGAUCGUCCUACUACAUGGAUAACUGUAGUAAUUCUAGAGCUAAUACAUGCAACUAUGCCCUGACCUGCAAAGGGACGGGUGCAUUUAUUAGAACAGAACCAACCGGUAGUGGCUUCGGUCACUGCCGUUGCAUUCUGUGAUGACUCUGGAUAACUUUACUGAUCGCAGUCGGCCUUGUGUCGGCGACGGAUCUUUCAAAUGGCUGCCCUAUCAAUUUUCGAUGGUAGGUGACCUGCCUACCAUGGUGAUAACGGGUAACGGGGAAUCAGGGUUCGAUUCCGGAGAGGGAGCCUGAGAAACGGCUACCACUUCCAAGGAAGGCAGCAGGCACGCAAAUUACCCAAUCCCGGCACGGGGAGGUAGUGACGAAAAAUACGGAUACGGGACUCAUUAGAGGCUCCGUAAUUCGAAUGAGUACAAUUUAAAUCCUUUAACGAGGAUCAACUGGAGGGCAAGUCUGGUGCCAGCAGCCGCGGUAACUCCAGCUCCAGAAGCGUAUAUUAAAGUUGUUGCAGUUAAAAAGCUCGUAGUUGGAUCUGGGUCGCAUGGCUACAUGCCGUUGCUCGUGAUCUUAACCUGGUCCACACUGGGUUGAGUUUGUGAGUCGGUGUCGUGGUUGUGCAGCCUUUCUGCUGUGUCUGUUUCGACAGGUGUUGGCAUGAUUGGUGGGCUCGUCCUGCUGGUCUGUCGACAUGCUUCCGGAUGCCUUUAACCGGGUGUCUGUGGCGGACGGCACGUUUACUUUGAACAAAUUUGAGUGCUCAAAGCAGGCCUGUGUGCCUGUAAAUUCUUGCAUGGAAUAAUGGAAUAGGACUUCGGUUCUAUUUUGUUGGUUUUCGGAUCCGAAGUAAUGGUUAAAAGGGACAGACGGGGGCAUUUGUAUGGCGGUGUUAGAGGUGAAAUUCUUGGAUCGCCGCCAGACAAACUACAGCGAAAGCAUUUGCCAAGGAUGUUUUCAUUGAUCUGGAGCGAAAGUCAGAGGUUCGAAGACGAUCAGAUACCGUCCUAGUUCUGACCAUAAACGAUGCCAACUGACGAUCCGUGGUGGUUCUAUUAUUGGCCCCGCGGGCAGUCCCCGGGAAAUCUUUAAGUCUUUGGGCUCCGGGGCAAGUAUGGUUGCCAAGCUGAAACUUAAAGGAAUUGAUCUGCAAGGGUUUCACCCGAAGUGGAGCCUGCUUGCUUAAUUCGACUCAACACGCCAGAACUCACCCGGCCCGGCAAACUGUGAGGAUUGACAGAUUGAUACCUCUUUCUUGACUCCCUGCACGAUGACGCAUGACCGUUCUUAGAUGUAGCAGGCGAUUUGUCUGGUUCAUUAUCGAUAAUUAACCAAAACUUUCGCCUGAUCAACUAUAAGCCUGUAUGCUGUGCUCACGACCGAAGCAGAUCUAGCUGUCUCUCCGUCAAUCCUCACAGCCGUCCGGCCCGCGUGUGCUGUUCCCGUGUUUACUUAAUUAAGCCACAGGCUCCACUCCAGGCGCAGCACAUUCCAUCAAUUCCUUUACUUUUCAGCUCUGCGACCAUACGUCCCCCGCAGCCGCUAGACUUAAAGAUUUCCCCGGGGACUGCCAUCCUAGCCCAAAAAGAGUAGCGCCAACGGAUCCCCAGAUCGGCAUCGUUUAUGGAUCGGAGCUAGGACGUUUUCUCAUCGUCUUCGAAACUUCUUAGUUUCGGUCCAGAAUCAAUGCAUAACGCUCCAUUGGCAAACCCUUUCCGCUGUAGAAUAGGCCUGGGGGGCGAUCCAAAGAAUUUUAACCUCUUAACACCGGCCUUCCAAAUGCCCCCCCUCUGUUCCCUUUUUACCCCUUACCUUCCCGAU
rnacentral:rRNA from 1 species